rnacentral:rRNA from 1 species
GGGUGGACAGUGGCAGACGGCUGAGUAACGCGUGGGAAUCAACCCUAGACACAGUGAUAGCUCAUCGAAAGGUGGGGUAAAACCUGAUAGUCCCAUACAGUUUUUACUGUAUGGGUAAAACUUCGGUGGUCUAGGACGAGCCCGCGUCCUAUCAGGUUGUUGGUGAGGUAAAUGCUCACCAAGCCUAUGACGGGUAGCUGGUUUGAGAGGACGGACAGCCAGACUGGGACUGUGACACGGCCCAGACUCCUACGGGAGGCAGCACUUAGGAAUCGUGCGCAAUGGACGGAAGUCUGACGCCGAGACGCCGCGUGGAGGAUGAAUGCCUACGGGUUGUAAACUCCUUUUAUGAGGGAACAAGUUUCUGAGUGUACCUCAUGAAUAAGCACCUGCUAACUACGUGACAGAAGCAUCGGUAAAUACGUAAGGUGCGAGCGUAAUCGCGGAAUAAUUGGGCGUAAAAGAGACGCGUAGGCGACUCGGUAAGUCUGAUGUUAAAUCUCAAUGCUCAACAUUGAGACUGCAUUAGAUACUGUCGUGAUUGAGUAAAGUAGAGGAGAGGGGAAUUCCUGGUGGAGCGGUGCAAUGCGUUGAUAUCAGGAGGAACACCAAGGGCGAAGGCAUCUCUCUGGACUUUUACUGACGCUGAGGCUCGAAAGUGUGGGUAGCAAAGCGGAUUAGAUACCCGUGUAGUCCACACUGUAAACUAUCCCUAUUAGACGUUUGG